UUGCGGUGAUGACCAUCUUAGGACACCUUUGGAACAUCCAUGAAAAAAACUGAGUUAUUUCUGAGCAAC
rnacentral:snoRNA from 1 species